UACGUAGGGGGCAAGCGUUGUCCGGAAUUAUUGGGCGUAAAGAGCGUGUAGGCGGUCCGGUAAGUCAGCUGUGAAAGUCAAGGGCUCAACCCUUGAAUGCCGGUUGAUACUGUCGGGCUAGAGUCCGGAAGAGGCGAGUGGAAUUCCCGGUGUAGCGGUGAAAUGCGCAGAUAUCAGGAAGAACACCCGUGGCGAAGGCGGCUCUCUGGGACGGUACUGACGCUGAGACGCGAAAGCUAGGGAGCAAACGGG
rnacentral:rRNA from 1 species